ensembl:miRNA
UUUUCCCUGGGUUUUGAAUUUGCAGUAACAGGUGUGAACAUUCUAGCAGCCGUUUGAUGAUCAUGUAUGACACUGCAAACAGGA